UGGUUUCUCCGUCAAAGGGGAGAAAAUUCCAUCUUUCUCCGACGUCUCUCCGACUAAUACAAGUCGAUUCCGCAUGGUGAUCUCGUCAUCGAAUCAGAGGUAAGAAAAAAAGAUGAAGAACUGGAAAAGCAAGUGGUGGAUCUCAAGAGCAAAAUCCGAGUGGAUCAUCAUCAUCUUAAUCAGUUUCCAAGUCUCAACCAAAGUUAACAAAUACGGUUACAGAACAAAUAUCUGGUUACUUUGCCUGAAAGUAACUCUAAUGACUGCUUUGAACUGACAUCUGGUUACCUUGCCGGUUAUGAAUCAAACGGAUGACAUGCUUCUUUUUUCCUGG